CGGGAAUUCGGUGCGGCAUCUGCCAAAGCCGAAACUGCCCCCGCAACUGUUGGUUCCGUACCGUCAGACCAAAAAAACAGGGCCUGUCAUCACGAUGGAACAAGUCAGAUUACCG
rnacentral:ncRNA from 2 species